UAAACUUUUUUUUUUUACUUAUUCCCCUAUUCCAUACAAUUAUAUUAUAAUAGAAAUAAAAGAUCUUUGCCUUUAAAGUUAGAGUAGAAGCAGGACCUGGCAUAGGCUUCUACCAAAGGCUUUCUUUUUUUUGCAAUCUGAAUUUUUCCCUUUCUCUAUGCAUGAUCUUCUGAGAUAGUCUACACAGAUGUCUUAUGUGGCCUUAUACCUUAGACAAAUGAAAAAUUCUUCCUUUUGGGAAGGCAAAUUUGCUUCUAUAACUUUUUCUCCUCUGCUUUUGUGAGUAUGAGAGAGUUUCUCUACUACAAGACUGUAGGAUAAAAGUUGGUAUAACAAAAAUAAAGAUUGAAAAGAUAAAAUGACAACCAAAAAACAAUGACAAAAUUGGAAUUCAGGAAUAAUCUUCACUUUGGCAAUAUGGCUAAAUAUAACUUGGGUUAGGGAUCUCUUGGGUUAGGAAUCUUUUUGUGUGAUAUAUUAUUUUGAAUUUAUAGAGCAUUGGUUUUUAACAAGUUUUUAUCAUUUUUAACAGGUUUUUAUCAUUUAAAAGGUGACUAGGGCAAUGGGAUUACCUCUGAUAUCAGAGAGUUGGCAAUCAUGUAACCCUGAAAGUCAUGGCACAAUAUGGCAGAACAAGCACGUCUGGGGCCUGGGAGUCCUGAGGUACUCUAGUAAUUGUGGUUUUCCUCAUACUCUCUGGAUCUGGGGUGACCCAGAACACAGUCAUAAUUCUUGAACUGUUUGCAAGUGCAAACCUUGAGAUCUUCCCAAGCCAGUCACCCAGUCGAUAAUCAGCUCAAGAUCAUCCCUAUACCCCGAGUAGAAUUAGUUGUCAAUAUUUAGGGCACAAAAUUCAUUUUGGUGAGAUGCCCUAGGCCAUUGACACUAGUCAUAUAAUAAUCUAAUGUGUUUGCUGCAAUGACACAUUGCAGCCCUAUGUCCUCUGAGUUCUGGCUCUAAUGUGGUAUUUCUUUACACUAGCUUUCUCAAUAAUAUGAACAGCCUGCCUAUGAACUGAAAUGUGAAGUAUGAUACCCACUAUUAUAUAUCUUUCCUUACUGCAAGUCCAACUAAUGGUUAUUAAUAUGAACAACUUACCUCCUGCUUGCUUUCAGCUCCCGAAUUUUUAUUGUCUGUACUUUUCCUGUAGUGAAGUAGUUUCAUAGCUCAGCAAAGCCUCAGAAUUUUUUAUGAACAGUCUCUAAAAGGCAGCUAGAUCUAGCUCUAAGACAUCAAGCAAAUGACCCAGGACUUGUUAUUUUUCUUGUUGGUUUCUGCGUAGCUAAGGCAAAGGCUUUUUCUUGGCCUCCACUCAGCAAUAUGCAAAAAGCUGAAGCUUUUAAAGUGGGAGAAGAAACAGAAGGAACAGAGGAGGUAAUUGAGAAUUAGUCACAUUUGUUAUUUUUAGCACUGCCUGAUUUUGUCUGGAAAUGGAAGUGAAACUAUAAAAACAGAUUUAUAACCAGAGGCAUCAUUUCUUUCUUGUUCGUUACUGCAAAGAACAAAACCCGCACAAAGAAGACUCUCAGGAAAUGCUGGCUGAAUGACAGAAUGAACAUUGAUAAAUGAAGACUUCUUCAAAUAACUGAUGCUAGACAUCUCUAAAUAUAUCAGAAAUAACAUGUGACCAUGACAUCAUUCAUCAUUUUUCCAUCAAAACAUUUGAAAAUAACUUGGAUUCAUUUAUUAGAGCUUUAUUUUCCCACAUCUUGCAGUACCCUAGAGUUCUACAGUAAUUAACCUUAUGCUGAAUGGCAGAGGACAUGCACUAAGCUCCUAUUUAAAAUCUAUUCAUGAUGCAUUUUAAAUAUUCAGUAGAGACUUCUUAAACAUGCAGCCAUAGUCUAUUGAAAAUGGAUUUCCUAAAGCCAGGAGAUUGGAUAUUAAUAUCUGGCAUUCGUAUAAAGACAGGUUUUUGUUAACCUAUUAUAAAAAGGACUGAUGAUGUGAUUAUAUACUGUUUACUAGCUCACUUAUAUUUCUGUGCUAAUAAUUACUGUAACCCAUUUGUUUAGUUUUUUUAUUUUA
rnacentral:lncRNA from 1 species